rnacentral:rRNA from 1 species
UACGUAGGGUGCAAGCGUUGUCCGGAAUUAUUGGGCGUAAAGAGCUCGUAGGCGGUUUGUUGCGUCGGCUGUGAAAUCCCGAGGCUCAACCUCGGGUCUGCAGUCGAUACGAGCAAACUAGAGUGUUGCAGGGGAGACUGGAAUUCCUGGUGUAGCGGUGAAAUGCGCAGAUAUCAGGAGGGAACACCCGGUGGCGAAGGCGGGUCUC